GUUCCUGUAGCGCAAGAAUAGCGCAUUGGGCUUCUAAUCCAAAGGUCAUGGGUUCGAAUCCCACCUGGGAUG